AGUGAACGCUGGCGGUAGGCCUAACACAUGCAAGUCGAACGGCAGCACAGUAAGAGCUUGCUCUUACGGGUGGCGAGUGGCGGACGGGUGAGGAAUACAUCGGAAUCUACUUUUUCGUGGGGGAUAAUGUAGGGAAACUUACGCUAAUACCGCAUACGACCUACGGGUGAAAGCAGGGGAUCUUCGGACCUUGCGCGAUUGAAUGAGCCGAUGUCGGAUUAGCUAGUUGGCGGGGUAAAGGCCCACCAAGGCGACGAUCCGUAGCUGGUCUGAGAGGAUGAUCAGCCACACUGGAACUGAGACACGGUCCAGACUCCUACGGGAGGCAGCAGUGGGGAAUAUUGGACAAUGGGCGCAAGCCUGAUCCAGCCAUACCGCGUGGGUGAAGAAGGCCUUCGGGUUGUAAAGCCCUUUUGUUGGUAAAGAAAAGCAGCAGGUUAAUACCCCGCUGUUCUGACGGUACCCAAAGAAUAAGCACCGGCUAACUUCGCG
rnacentral:rRNA from 1 species